GAAGACAGAACAUAUACCUAUUUUAUUUUUAUAUUGUCCUUUAAAAAGGUUCUGCUCAAUACCAGAACUGAGUCUGCUUUUUAGUGGUAGUAAACAAGAGUAAAGACAUAUCCCCGGCGUCGGUGUCCCCAGGCACAGGAGACUUGAGAGAAGGUUUUCAGUAACAGAAGCUUUAAACAUAAACAUGAAUUAUUAAUUGCAAACUUCCUAUAAAUUCUACCAGAUUACCAUUCAAAGGCGGUGCAAGUCUAUCAAUGGAGAAUCCCUCUGGGACAGUGAUGAGGAACUAGGUGCAAAGCAGCAUGGGAAGACCUGGGGUAGGCGCGGAUUCCUGGCUUCUACUGCAUCAUGAAGCAGAAAGUUCUCCCCAUUCUUGCCAGCAGAGCAGGAGCUACCUUGCAGGAGACAAAGAAGGGCCUGAACU
rnacentral:lncRNA from 1 species